rnacentral:rRNA from 1 species
GACGUAGGGGGCGAGCGUUGUCCGGAUUCAUUGGGCGUAAAACGCGCGCAGGCGGCCCGGUAAGUCGGAUGUGAAAUCCCACGGCUCAACCGUGGAACUGCAUUCGAUACUGUCGGGCUAGAGGCAGGUAGGGGAGAUCGGAAUUCCUGGUGUAGCGGUGAAAUGCGCAGAUAUCAGGAGGAACACCAAUUGCGAAGGCAGCUCGCUGGGACGUUACUGACGCUGAGACGCGAAAGCGUGGGGAGCAAACAGG